AUCAGCAUGCCGCGGUGAAUACGUUCUCGGGUCUUGUACACACCGCCCGUCACACCAUGGAAGUGGAUUGCACCAGAAGUAGAUAGUCUAACCUUAGGGAGGGCGUUUACCACGGUGUGCUUCAUGACUGGGGUGAAGUCGUAACAAGGUAGCCGUAGGGGAACCUGUGGCUGGAUCACCUCCUU
rnacentral:rRNA from 1 species